UCAUGGAGGAGGGAUCAUAGUGAAUCCAGAGUUCAACAAUGGAACUGAAGGAUGGAAAGUAUAUGGAGGAGGAGAAAUAAAGCUAGGGUGGUUGAAACAAGGCAACGACACCAAUACCUUCAUUGUAGCUCACAAGAGGACUCAACCAAGGGAUAGUCUCUAUCAGUUGGUUCAUCUCCAAUAUGAAAAGCUCUAUAGUUUCUCUGCUUGGGUUCGACUAAGUGAAGGGAACGCACCUGUGGCUGUUCUAUACAGAAAUAGUGAAGGGGGUGAGAUUCGUAAUGUUGGUGAAACCAUAGCCCAGCAGGGCUGCUGGAGUUUGUUCAAAGGUGGCUUUGUCUCUAAUUUUACAGGCCAGGCUGAGCUUUUUUUUGAGAGUACAAAUACGACAGCAGAUAUUUGGAUUGAUAAUGUCUCACUGCAACCAUUUACAAAGGAACAAUGGCGAUCCCACCAAGAAGAAAGUAUUAACAAGGUAGUAUAAAGUAAAAGAAAAUCAAUAUGGUCGAUACAACAUUUAAUUCAAUGCAAAAGUUUCACUAGUUGUGAGAUCUCAGAUCGGUUGGAGAGGGGGACAAAGCAUU